rnacentral:rRNA from 1 species
GGAUUAGAUACCCUGGUAGUCCACGCCGUAAACGAUGUCUACUUGGAGGUUGUGGCCUUGAGCAGUGACUUUCGGAGCUAACGCGUUAAGUAGACCGCCUGGGGAGUACGGUCGCAAGAUUAAAACUCAAAUGAGUUGACGGGGGCCCGCACAAGCGGUGGAGCAUGUGGUUUAAUUCGAGGCAACGCGAAGAACCUUACCUACUCUUGACAUCCAGAGAACUUUUCAGAGAUGAAUUGGUGCCCUCGGGAACUCUGAGACAGGUGCUGCAUGGCUGUCGUCAGCUCGUGUUG